GGGGAUGUUCCGGUUUCGACCGGAAAGACGGAGGCUUAAGCUGCAGGCGGAGUGCCGAUCUCCUGAUUCGGCAAACACUAUAACUGCCGAAAAUAACGACAGUUUCGAUUACGCCUUAGCUGCAUAAUCGCGGAAUCUGCUUUGCACUGCUCCGAGCGGGGCAUGAUUCCGACGCCAAUCGGGGCUUGCUUUUUAGCGGCGUGUAAACGUUAAAAGGGACUUUUUUUACACUAAGGAUUCGACGCUUUCGGUGCUGCUACCGGAUCCCUACAACCACCUCGCACCGAUAAGCCUGUAGACGCUUCUGAUUCCCUUUUCGGGACGGGGGUUCAAUUCCCCCCAUCUCCAUCA
rfam:Treponema denticola ATCC 35405, complete genome.